CCAGGUGUCCCCACUUCAUCCAUGAUCAGAGUCCAUGAUCAUACAGCGAAGUUCUUUGAGACCAGGACUGAGGCCUGCAGGAUUCAAACAACCAUUAAAGCACAGAGAAGAGACACAGAUGUGAAGACAUUUCCAGAAGGUCUUCAGCUGCUGUCGUCUUCUCCUCCUGCAGAGACAAGGAAACUAUUAAACUAUUAAAUAUUUUUAUGACAUACUAUUCUGACAUUUUUUGACAGUUUUUAUGCCUUACAACUUCUUAUCCUAAUGUAGCCAUCCUACCUUCAUUUUCCACACUGACACCUCUACACAGUGUUUGUGGGUUAGGUCAGAUUUUCAUUUUAAUAUUUUGCUAUUUCAAACAGUGCAAUAUCAGUGCUCAAAAUCCAAUCUAUUACUGUGUAUCAUUUUUAUAUAUUGUUGUAUAUUACCUUGUUUUAUGUCUUAGAGAUAUAAUGCCCUUUUGUAUUUUUACUGUUGCAACACUGAAUUUCCCCGUUGUGGGACUGAUAAAGGAUUGUCCUACUCAAAUAAAUACUUCUGAACACUGA